rnacentral:lncRNA from 1 species
GCAAGUAUUUUUCAGGAAGAUUCUUCUAGUAAAAGUAAAUUGAAAUCUUGAGAGCUGUAGAAGCCAGAGAAAUAAUAGAUGGGCUAAUAUUGCCCUCUGGUGGAAAUAUUGAGACAUGACAGAUUGGAUCAUUUAUUAAAGACCAUGCCUUUAGCCCAGAGAAAGCCCAGGAAUUGAAAGUUUCCACUCUAUUAUGUGAUCUUACAGUGUUGUGUUAAAUUUUUUAAUUUAAUAUUUAAAACCUGAAUUAUAUUAGAUAGAAGGCUUGAAUAAGCAAUGUACAAAAAAUACAUGAUCAAUCAACUUCUGGAAAAAGUGUUCAAAUUUCAUUAGCAAUACAAAAAUACAAAGUAAGAAAAGACUGAUGUACUGUUUCAUCUCUCAAAUCAGCAGAAAGUUUGAAAACAAAGGGAUAGUGUGAGCAAAAGGGCGUUCAUAUGGUUUGUAGGGACAUAAAAUGCUACUGCGUUCUCAAUCUGGGGUUGUUUUGGUCGGAAGGCUCCGAAGAUGCAUAAAAAUUUGAACAUAUUUGCCCUUUCCUGAGAAGAGAUGCAAAAUCCAUCAGAUUCUCAAAGGGAUUCAUUCUCUCAAAUGUUAAGAACAAAUGUUUAAAUUAUUUGGGAGAAUAAUUUGGCAAAAUGUGCAAGAAAGUUAUGCGUAUGUGUAUUCCAAUAUUGUUUUGAAUGCUUAAUCACUAUAAACCACCUAAAUAUUCAACAGUGGGACAUUUGAAAUAAAUCACACUCCAGUUCUAUGAUAGAGUCAAUGUAGUUAUUAACAAUCGUGCUGUAGAAUUAAUGAUGCCGAAAUGUUCUUUAUACAUGAUGAGGUAGAAAAAGCAGUUUGCCAUUUAGUACAUGUGAUAUGAUCCUGAGUUUAUUGAAACAUAAACAUAUGACGUGCAUGAGAAAAUAUUUGGGAGUAUCCAUGAAAAAUCCCAAUGCCAGUUUGGGUAACUAAAUGCAAUGUGCUUGUCUUUAUUUUUAGAUAAAUUUACAAUGAAUAUAUUACUUUUGUAAUAAAAAGCAUGAUAAAUAUAAUAUAAAAAGGAAUGAUUAAUUUUCUAUCUAUUAGAAGAUUUGACACAGGAGAUUGUUAACUUUUAAUUAAUCAACUGAACUGAAUAGGUACAAUUUGAAAAAGCAUUUUAGAGGACUGGAACAAUAAUUACGUAAUACUCCACAUUGUUACUCUCUGCAGAAAGACCUUCUUAAUAUUUAAAAGCAGUUUAAAAAAUCUGUAAAUUUCCAAGCAAAUAGAAAAAUCUGUGCUAUUCUGGACUUUUACAAGACACUAGAGCCUUUGUGAGUCUUUUCUAGAGCAAGACAGAGUGAAAUAAAAUAGAAUAAAUUAAAAUGAAAUAAUUUAAAAAAUUAGAGCAUUAGCAAAGGUAACUAGGCCACUUUAAAUAUACAAAUAAACUCUUACAAUUUUUUUUGUUAUUUUUAGAAAAAAGUUUACACUUCCUUCACCUUUUAGGAGUGAAAGGAGCAAAGGAAGUAAGAAAGGCUUGGGCCGGAUGUGGUGGCUCAUGCCUGUAAUCUCAGCACUUUGGGAUGCCGAGUCGGUGGAUCACCUGAGGUCAGGAGUUCGAGACCAGCCUGGCCAACAUGGUGAAACCCUCGUCACUACUAAAAAUACAAAAAAUUAGCUGGGCAUGGUGGUGGACACCUGUAAUCCCAGCUACUAGGGAGGCUGAGGCAGGAGAAUUGCUUGAACUCUGGAGGCAGAGGCUGCAGUGAGCCCAGAUCAUGCCACUGCACUCCAGCCUGGGCAACAACAGGAAAACUCCAUCUCAAAAAGAAAAAAAAAAAGAAAAAAAGAAGAAGAGGAGGUGAGGGGAGGGAAGGGGAGAGGAGGAGAGG